AGGUGGCAAGAAUUUACCACUGGCGAAAAGUAACGCCUGCAGCAGGAUGCUCCUCAUGAGCGCACCCAACCCCGUAAACAUCGCUGCUGCCAUUGGUGAAGAUUUGAAACGACCGCCACCAGCAAACCCGCCAAAUUUAACCGAUAACAAUCCUUAACAGCACCGGGCUAAACCUUACUCUUGUGUCUAUCGAAACGGCAGAACUACCACCUAAUGAGGUCGCUUAAUGUGAAAUUUUUAGAUUACAUUUACCAACUGGAUACAACCCCUAAAUUUUCAAUGAACCUCCGCGAAACCCUAUCAAUUAAUUUCUGAAGGGUUACCACAUCGAGGGGUGAGUGGGUACCCUGUUUAUAAGGAAUUUGAACCCCUGCAAAUUGACAUUUUGCCAUUUUUCUCAAAAACUUGAAUUUUUACGAUUCUUUUCCUCAAGUAACUAUUCCUCGCAUUGUAGUUUGGGUGUUAUCAAUAAUAGCAAAGUAAACUCCAUUUAUCUUUAAUCGCUACCGCAUUAUUCGAGCCACCAAAUGCAACCCUAUGAUAGAAACUAUUUUGGAUCCUUCAAAACGACACAAUUCAAAUUCGUCCAUAUGCAAGAAGCACAGAUUAAGGAGGAUAUCUAACGUGAAGACGUGCAAAAGAAGAAGCCAAAAAUCCGAAAUUUUACACAGUAUCCCAUUAAAAGAAGCAUGAGAAGAGAAAGGGAAGUCUGUUAAUAAAAGAGUGCAGCAAAAAAUAGUUGGAAAUACAUAGGGUUGCCAACGGAUCAGUUUUAAAGAGAACUUUUGAGAGAACAUUCUCUAUCUUUUUUAUAUAUACUCAAGUUGUUCUCUUUUUUAAUUUCGCCAUCGAGAACGAACCAACGUGCAACGUUUUAACUAUUUUAAAUUUAGGUCUUUACACAAAAACACGUGAAAUUGCGUUCUCGUGCAAACAUCAUCACUCCACUCUUAUUACCGUGAAUUUUUUUGCAAUACUUGGCCAUGUUGAAAGAAUAUUUUCAAUAAUCGGUGCACAGGGGAAUAAAAAAAUAAAUAAGCUGAAAAUUUUCCGUUCGAAGUAUUUUGAGUGUGGUUAUAAUCAUAAAAAUGUUUCAUCUUUAGAAUUUUAUAAAAAAAGAAAUAAAUGGAAAUGAUAAACCAAAUUAGCAGUACAGAGAAAUAUAACGAAAAACAUGAUGAAAAUGAAGUUGAAUAAAUAGAACGGAAGCCAAAACGAUACCUAAUAUUCAAAUCAAUUAAUAUCAACCAGAUCUUUUGUUUUAAGAAGUUAUUUUAGUUGCAUAAAAUUAGGCGCCCUUCAGAAGAGAUUUUGUCAUUUAAAAGUAGGCAUAGUGAAAAACGACAUACGUAAAUCCCAAUGGCUACUUCUUAAAUAGCACUGUUUAUCCAGUAAAUAGGUUAUUAAGGUUUUAAUUGAGGUGUUUAAUUAUUACCUUUUAGACCAAAAAAGGAGUGGGAGUCAAACAACAGGUGAACAAAAGUCUUAUUUAUUGUUAUUGAUUUUCACCGUACACAACUACAAUGUGAAGAAGUUGAAAAUAUAAAUACCAUACCAAACAGUGCUCAAUGCCCCGCUCAACAAAAAAGUAUCGAAAAGGGGUCAAGAGGGACUAAAACAAAACAAAACUUCACCGAGCAUGAUGCUAGUACAAGCAAGGAUGAUGGGGAAAUUUCUAACUCUGUUACAUCGCCAAAGUUUCAAAGAAUUGGUAGCUAAAAAAGUUUAAAAGUGGUGACAAACAAACAACAGGAAUAGCCAAGGUAAUAGCAAUGUGUGACAACGAUGAGAACAAUAUUAUAUUCGAUAAUAUAUGGUAGACGAGAUCCCAUACAAUACAAUAAAAAUUAUGGACCAUAUUUCAUUGAUCCUGAGGAAACUAGACGAGAUGAAUGUGAAAAACGAUGAAUUUCAACGAAGGGUGUUUCGACAGCAAUUUAUAAUAGUUACAAAGUAAAUUAACUGAUUUGGAAUCUCAGUUAGUCACCCUGUCCACGGCAAAUGUAAAUUCAAAAGAAACCUCCAACGACUUUGUUACGAAUUACAGUUUCGACGGGGCAAAGGGUAAACUUAAAUUUAAACCUUUGAAGCUGUAUGAAUUAUUAUUAGGUAAGGUUUGGUAAUAUUACAAAUUGAUCAGCUCAUCCCAGUCAACAUGUAACUCUCAGGUAUAGCUGAAAGAGCUCUACUAAGUAACAUUGAUAUGUUACAGUUGUAACUGAAAUUAUAUGUAGGUAACAUAGAGGUUGGAACGUUCCAUACCAAACACGUAAUAAUUACUUACAUAACUGAAAGGGCUCCAGAACUUAACAAAGUUAUGUUACAAUUGUAACCGAAAUGAUAUGUAACACAGAAGUUGGAAUGUUCUAUACCAAACACGUAAUAAUCACUUACGUACCUGAAAGGACUCUAGAAGGUAACAAAGUUAUGUUGUUACAAUAACAUACUACCCAUGAAUGUGCUUCAAUUAGUAACGUGGCAAAUUCCACACUUUCGUGUUCGUUAGAGGCAAUUAAUGUUGAAAAAUUGUCAAGUUCCGAAUUGAUAAAUAAUAUUUAAAGUAAGCAACAAUUAUUUUUUACACCAUGAAAACUGUUUUGGUGGGAACGCAGUUUGUCUUAUAGAACUUUCUUUUAGAUGCCGUUCGGCAAACUUUCCCCGACACUAGCGAAAGUGCCAUUGAAUUGGCGGUGGGUGAGUGGUUACGCUUAAGCAAGCUGAGACAGUCAAGAGAAAAACCUCUCCAAAAUCAAUAAUUUUAUUAUAUAUUAUUAAUGAAUAUUGGAAAUGUAUCU